AAGAAAUUCUAAAACCCAUUUCAUUUCAUCUAACUGUUUUUCCUGUUCUUUGAAAGGGGGAAAAAGAAAGCCCAUACACAGCAGCUUAUCAAUGAGCUGCACCGAUCUUUAAUUAACAGUACAAACAAAACUCUCCAACGUCUAAUUUCAUGAACUCAAAUUUCCAACUCAAAAAUUCUAUUGACGGAUUAAAAAAAAAAAAAAUCCAAAUGUCCAAUGCUCGCAGCCGCAGGUGUUUCGCCAUUUGAACACACACAAAUCAACAAACGAGUCUAGUUUUAACUUACCAUUACCCCGCAACUAAGAUCCUGCCACAUACGCAACGGGUACCACUUGUCAUGGGACCCAUCCCACAUGUAAUCAUCAGAGCCGAAAUCAAUUCUCCUAGUAUCCAUGGAUGAUCUCAGAGCACUUGUUCUUGAUCCAACGCAACCCGUUCUUGAAGGAAGCCUUGAACUUACCUUCCACUGCGUAAACCUUGUACUUGGCAAUCCUCUUCUUUCGCUUCAUCUCUGGAUCACUAAAACCCCAGGGCGUUGAUGUGGUCCGACUCUGCCUGGUCGUGCGAGGCGGAACCGGUGGCCGAUCGGGCGAGUGAGGACGAGUCGAGUAGAUCUGGUUACCACCGGCGGCAAAACUCUUCCCGCUUACAAUCUCAAACCUCCGAUCACCACCAUAAUACCUAUGACCAUAUCCGUCCAUCUGAAGAAUCAAGAGUGGAUGGAGAUAGUGAGAGAAGAAAAACGUGUAAAGAAAUUUUUGGGUUUAUAAUGCGACUUCGGGUGACGUUUUGGAACGGCUGAAAGGCAUUGAGGGAAAGCAAAAUAAAGCAGGCAGAGAGUGCGUGAGAGUGGGACUUUUGCAUGAGCUUUUGGGGUUUAGGUUAUGCUUUAUAUAUAUU
rnacentral:misc_RNA from 1 species